GGAGAGAGGAGGAUGCAGAGCACAGCACUUAGCCAACCUGCAAUGGACACGUAGAAAACCUCAAGAAAGGCUCUGGCCUAGACUUUCCCCUUGUUCCUGUCUUCUGGCUCUUGACUGACACUGGUGCUUUCCCCCUGUGGUCCUGCAUGGUGUGUGGUGACUACCUCAUUGGGCCCUAAAACUUCUAAAAUCAUCAGGAGAUAUCACUGAAAAGGUUUCAAAACAAAGCCAUAAUCUCUAGAAAUGUGUCCUUGAUGGGUUGGUCUUCAUUUGCCUGAAGAAAUUGAGGCUAAGUGAGCCAAGGAAAAGGUCAUCCAUCAAGAACAAAGCAAGAUUUCUCAACCAUGGCAGGACAUUAGGAUCAUCUGUAGAACUUUAAAAGAUGUUUAAUUUUUUUCAUUUGGUUUCCUUUAUAGUCGAUUUUGUUUAACUUUGCCAGUGAAAUUU
rnacentral:lncRNA from 1 species